UCAAACUUUCAUUUGUUUUAGCAUUACUGUCUUUGAGAGCUUUGAUAUGCAAUAGGAUAUAAAAUUAAAUAAAUCAUAAUCUGUUCAGGCUGCUAUGAGCAAGAUCUAGCUCUUUCCUUGGACAGAUGGAAAACAUAUCCAGAGGACCAUGAUGUGAACACCAGACCAGAAAUUAUGGGCAGGUCUGUACCUUAAAAUUGAGAAGCAUGCAGCUCAGCGUAGAGGAAAACAAGGGGGCAGAGCAAUGCAGACUCUGAAGCACAGGUAACAUGAAUCUAGAGAAGAGCAUAUUGAUGUCACAGGCCAUGGAAGAACAUGGAAGACAAAAGAUGAGUUGAAGAUUCCAGUCUGAAUGUCCAGUGUGAUGAUGGCAGAGUGAUGAGGCCAGAAUGCCACCCCUUGACUUUUGGAAACAGAGAGAGAAAGAGGGGAAGGAAACUGAGCUGAAAUUUCCUGUAACACUAAAGAGUGGAGCUAUAUUUGGCACAGUACAAAGUGGCUCUCAGUGUUAAGUUUCAGAUGAUGAGAGAAUUUCCAUGGCAUUAUAAUGUGACGAACUGGCCUGAAUUCAUUUGUCAAUUCUAACUGGAACAGAUGCAUUAAAUUGGUAGGAACGUGGUAAGUCAUUACUUCUGUAAGUUUCAGUGAUUCCAUGGGUUUACUCUGUUUGGGAUUAAUGCUUGGAUUUAAGCCUUCUCUUUUUAUCAUUGCAACUUUUUGUCUGUUUUGAUCUGUAUAGUAUUUAUCAUUUUUAAAAUUUUAUCUGCACCUGUUUUGAAUCUAUUUGAAAGUUGCCUUGAAUUCUAGCUCUGAAAAAUGUUGAGCUAUAACUCAAAGAAAGAAAAUACUUUGAAAGGCUGAUUUUCUGUCCCCUUUAUUGUCUCUAAAAGGUAGCUACAGUCACCGUUUGGAUUCAAACUGAACCUUCUUCCUUCUUUAAUAUUCCAUUUUUACUGUCAUAAUUUUUUAAAAAAUGCAACCAUCCUUCUCUUCCUUAUUUGUUGGCUUCUGGAUCAAUAGCCUCACAGAUAAUUAUUUUACAUCAGGAAUACAGUCAUUAAAAAGGAUUAAAUCCUCAGCAAAAUUAUGAAUUCCUCAGAUCUUACACCUGUUGAUAGAUUUCUCCCAUAAUCAUUAUUACCGAGCGAAUGAUGCCCUGCCCUUUUCCAGUUUUGCUCCUUUGGAAUCCAUCAUCUCCUCUCCUCUCCUCUCCUCUCCAGUUCUCAUUAAUUAUCAACAUUAUGCUGACACCAGUCAAGAUCUAGACAAAGUGAGGCCACUAUGUUAGACAGGAGAUGGUAGUGGUGCUGGGACAGGCUGCAAAAUGUUGAAAAUACUUGCUAGAAGAAGAAGUGAAUAUGAAACCUGUUUCUCAGGCAUC
rnacentral:lncRNA from 1 species